rnacentral:rRNA from 1 species
UACGUAGGUACCGAGCGUUAUCCGGAUUUACUGGGCGUAAAGCGUGUUCAGGCGGCCUGGCAAGUCGGGCAUGAAAUCUCUCGGCUCAACCGAGAGAGGCUGUCCGAUACUGCUGGGCUUGAGGACGGUAGAGGGUGGUGGAAUUCCGCGUGUAGUGGUGAAAUGCGUAGAUAUGCGGAGGAACACCAGUGGCGAAGGCGGCCACCUGGACCGUCCCUGACGCUCAAACACGAAAGCUAGGGUAGCGAACGGGA